UAAUACGUAGGGUUCAAACGUUGUCCGGAUUUACUGGGCGUAAAGAGCGCGUAGGCGGUUUGUUAAGUCUCAUGUGAAAUCUCCCGGCUCAACUGGGAGGGGUCAUGGGAAACUGGCAGGCUUGAGGGUAGCAGAGGAAAGCGGAAUUCCCGGAGUAGUGGUGAAAUGCGUAGAUACCGGGAGGAACACCAGAGGCGAAGGCGGCUUUCUGGGCUAUUCCUGACGCUGAGGCGCGAAAGCGUGGGGAGCAAACCGGAUUAGAUACCCGGGUAGUCCACGCCCUAAACGAUGGAUACUAGAUAUGGGGGGUAUCGACCCCUCCCGUGUCGCAGCUAACGCAUUAAGUAUCCCGCCUGAGGAGUACGGCCGCAAGGCUA
rnacentral:rRNA from 1 species